rnacentral:rRNA from 1 species
UACAGAGGGUGCAAGCAUUAAUCGGAAUGAUUGGGCGUAAAGGGCGCGUAGGCGGGAAUGUAAGUCAGAUGUGAAAUUCCGAAGCUCAACUUCGGAGCUGCAUUUGAAACUACAAUUCUAGAGGGUUGACGGAGAAAACGGAAUUCCACGUGUAGCGGUGAAAUGCGUAGAUAUGUGGAAGAACACCGGUGGCGAAAGCGGUUUUCUAGUUAAUACCUGACGCUGAGGCGCGAGAGCAAGGGGAGCAAACAGGAUUAGAAACCCUUGUAGU